UCCCCUUUAAAAAUAAAGUUGGAGAGUGAGACGCCGCGACAGAAACGCCUCCCCUCUACCUCCACGCAUCUCUCACUCUCCUGCCCAUUCUCCCAAAACCUUGUCACCCCUUGAAGUACAACAUAUUCACCAAAAUACCACUUGAAAGUGUAAAAUCUCACUAAGUCCUCCAUCCGUGCAAGCUCCGGUGACCGAUCACCGGACCCAAAAUCAAACACCAUGCAGCCGGGAGAGACAGUUUUCCGGUCGGCUCUGGACAAACCGCUACACCAGCUAACGGAAGAUGAUAUUUCUCAGCUCACUCGCGAAGAUUGCCGCCGUUACCUCAAAGAAAAAGGUAUGAGAAGGCCGUCGUGGAACAAAUCGCAGGCAAUACAGCAAGUGAUUUCACUCAAAACACUCCUCGAAGCGACGCCGGAGACUGAAUCUCCAAGGCGACGACUCUACAUUCCCCGCCCUCCUCCUCAUCCUCCUGAUAAGACUCCUCGUGUCCCUCCAAAUUCCUCUGUUUCAGAGAGGGGAGCAAGUGCUGAAACGCCGAUCUCGGUGCCAGCCGAGGAGCCAGUUCCGUGCCGGCAACAUGAUCCUUCAAAUCCCGAUGUUCCUGCCGAUCCUCUGCCUCCUGUCCAUGCCGCCGUCACCGAGAAUGCAUCGGUUUCUCCGAGAACUACAGGCAUGGCAAAAGAAUCAGCAGGACAGAUGACAAUUUUUUACUGUGGGAAGGUAAACGUCUAUGAUGAUGUACCGAGAGACAAGGCGCAAGCAAUAAUGCAUCUUGCUUCAAGCCCAUUUGCUCCACCUCAGGAUGCUUCUUCAGAUGUAAUUCCGACAUUAAGGCCUUUACAAUGCCAGUUAGAAACUCCAGGUGUCAAAGCUGCUCCAAAUUCAAUUGUGGCGAACUUUGCAACCCUGCCAACAGUGAAAGGGGCAGAUAGUGGUCAGCUUCUCUUGGAAGAAAGCAACAUAGCUCGUGAAGACAACCUAGAAGGCUCUACAAGCAGAAAAGCAUCCUUACAAAGAUAUUUUGAGAAGAAGAAAGACAGGUUCAAGAACAAGAGAAAGGUGGCGGUGCCUUCUGCUAGCUUAGACAUCUACUUAAGCCAUCUGGUUGGAGAUCAAAUCUUAAAUGAUCAUUGGAACCUAAAUGAUGCCUGCUCUCCUUCCCAACCCAGGCCUCCCCAAACGCCUAACCGAUGCAACUCUGUUGACAAUGUAGCAAAAAAUGGCAUCCUCAAAGCUGACCUUAACAACAAAGAUGUCUCAGAAAUCUGAAUUCUGAAUACUUGUAGGAUGAAUCUGUUGCACAGCAUGCGGUUUCUUCUUUUGAGCAAGGAAUCUCAUCGAUCGCUAUCCGAUGAGCCAUUUUGAUAUCAAUCGAGGCAGUAGAGUUUGUACUAUAAGAUUAGACGAAUUAAAGUAUUGAGGCAUGAAGGGAACGCGAAACUGGGACGUCAAGUCCGCCCAUCAUAUCACCUUGAGGGAAGAUUUUGAGUGGUUGUGAAGAGGACCCAUGAAUGACCCGAAGGUAGGGCAUUUGGAUAAGUGAAAGGGAUGUUCUGGUUAACAAAUGUGACUGGAUUGGCGACCAUUUGGCCUAGCGAGUGAAGACGAUGUAUGCUUUUGGAUGAUCAUUAAGGCAAACGAAUCUAAACCCACCUCGCACUGCCCCCACGAUUUGUCUAAAUUUCAACCAUUGUGGCAAAUCCAGAAUAAUUCCUAGGUGAUGUCCCCACCACUCCGUGGCAUUUUCGCACCCUACUAUUUAGCCUUUUUCCCUUUCAUUCUUUCUUUUUUCAUUUUUUCCUGUUUAACACUUGAUGAUACGUGCAUGACACUUGAUAUAAUUAAUCGGUGGUGGGGGUCAAUUAUUUCCUUAAA